AUGACUUUGGCUAGAGAUUUACUACCUCCGUCCUUGGAAGAGGAAAAGAAAAAACAUAAAAAGAAACGGCUAGUGCAAAGUCCACAUUCUUACUAUAUGCAUGUAAAAUGUCCAGGUUGCUACAAGAUUACCACGGUUUUCAGCCAUGCUCAGAGAGUGGUUCUUUGUGUAGGUUGUUUAACAGUGUUGUGCCAGCCUACAGGAGGAAAGGCCAGCCUCACAGAAGGGUAUUCAUUUAGAGGAAAGCAACACUAA
rnacentral:lncRNA from 1 species